CCCCUCUCAGCGUCGCACAAGGAGAGUUUCUGGUACUCUACCAGUCUCAGCUAUGGGAGGGAGAGUCAAGCAGAGGAAUACCCAUUCCAUUCCUAGCUUGGCCAGUGGCUAGUGAGUGGAAGGCAAUCUGCUACAAGU
rnacentral:snoRNA from 1 species